rnacentral:misc_RNA from 1 species
UACGUAGGUGGCAAGCGUUGUCCGGAAUUACUGGGUGUAAAGGGCGUGUAGGCGGGUUAUUAAGUCAGAUGUGAAAUUCCGAGGCUCAACCUCGGCGCUGCAUCUGAAACUGGUAAUCUUGAGUGCUGGAGAGGAAAGCGGAAUUCCUAGUGUAGCGGUGAAAUGCGUAGAUAUUAGGAGGAACACCAGUGGCGAAGGCGGCUUUCUGGACAGUAACUGACGCUGAGGCGCGAAAGCGUGGGGAGCAAACAGG